UGGGGAAUAUUGGACAAUGGGCGAAAGCCUGAUCCAGCCAUGCCGCGUGUGUGAAGAAGGUCUUCGGAUUGUAAAGCACUUUAAGUUGGGAGGAAGGGCAUUAACCUAAUACGUUAGUGUUUUGACGUUACCGACAGAAUAAGCACCGGCUAACUCUGUGCCAGCAGCCGCGGUAAUACAGAGGGUGCAAGCGUUAAUCGGAAUUAAUGGGCGUAAAGCGCGCGUAGGUGGUUUGUUAAGUUGGAUGUGAAAUCCCCGGGCUCAACCUGGGAACUGCAUUCAAAACUGACAGACUAGAGUAUGGUAGAGGGUGGUGGAAUUUCCUGUGUAGCGGUGAAAUGCGUAGAUAUAGGAAGGAACACCAGUGGCGAAGGCGACCACCUGGACUAAUACUGACACUGAGGUGCGAAAGCGUGGGGAGCAAACA
rnacentral:rRNA from 1 species